rnacentral:rRNA from 1 species
GAUGAACGCUGGCGGCGUGCUUAACACAUGCAAGUCGAACGGAAAGGCCGAAGCUUGCUUCGGUACUCGAGUGGCGAACGGGUGAGUAACACGUGGGUGAUCUGCCCUGUACUUCGGGAUAAGCUUGGGAAACUGGGUCUAAUACCGGAUAUGACAAUCUCUUGGAUGGGGUUGUGGAAAGCUUUUGCGGUAUGGGAUGAGCUCGCGGCCUAUCAGCUUGUUGGUGGGGUAAUGGCCUACCAAGGCGUCGACGGGUAGCCGGCCAGAGAGGGUGGACGGCCACAGUGGGACUGAGAUACGGCCCAGACUCCUACGGGAGGCAGCAGUGGGGAAUGUUGAACAAGGGGCGCAAGCCUGAUGCAGCGACGCCGCGUGGGGGAUGACGGCCUUCGGGUUGUAAACUCCUUUCGCAACCGACGAAGCUUUUUGUGACGGUAGGUGGAGAAGAAGCACCGGCUAACUACGUG